UACGGGGGGGGUAAGCGUUGUUCGGAAUUACUGGGCGUAAAGGGUUCGUAGGUGGCCAACUAAGUCAGACGUGAAAUCCCUCAGCUUAACUGGGGAACUGCGUCUGAUACUGAUUGGCUUGAGUGCAGGAGAGGAACGCGGAAUUCCAGGUGUAGCGGUGAAAUGCGUAGAUAUCUGGAGGAAUACCGGUGGUGAAGGCGGCGUUCUGGACUGCAACUGACACUGAUGAACGAAAGCCAGGGGAGCAAACGGG
rnacentral:rRNA from 1 species